CCCCAGGGGUAGCGGUGAAAUGCGUUGAUCCCUGGGGGACCACCUGUGGCGAAGGCGCCCGGCUGGAACGGGUCCGACGGUGAGGGACGAAGGCCGGGGGAGCAAACCGGAUUAGAUACCCGGGUAGUCCCGGCUGUAAACUCUGCGGACUAGGUGUCGCGUCGGCUUCGGGCCGGCGCGGUGCCGAAGGGAAGCCGUUAAGUCCGCCGCCUGGGGAGUACGGUCGCAAGACUGAAACUUAAAGGAAUUGGCGGGGGAGCACUACAACGGGUGGAGCCUGCGGUUUAAUUGGAUUCAACGCCGGGCAUCUUACCAGGGGCGACGGCAGGAUGAAGGCCAGGUUGACGACCUUGCCAGACGCGCCGAGAGGUGGUGCAUGGCCGUCGUCAGCUCGUACCGUGAGGCGUCCUGUUAAGUCAGGUAACGAGCGAGACCCGUGCCCCAUGUUGCCAUCCCCUCCUCCGGGAGGGGGGCACUCAUGGGGGACCGCCGGCGAAAAGCCGGAGGAAGGUGCGGGCAACGACAGGUCCGCAUGCCCCGAAUCCCCUGGGCUACACGCGGGCUACAAUGGCCGGGACAAUGGGAUGCGACCCCGAAAGGGGGAGCAAAUCCCCUAAACCCGGUCGUAGUCCGGAUCGAGGGCUGUAACUCGCCCUCGUGAAGCCGGAAUCCGUAGUAAUCGCGCCUCA
rnacentral:rRNA from 1 species